rnacentral:tRNA from 1 species
CAAGGAAUAGUUUAUUAAAAUAUUAAUUUUGGAGAUUAAAGAUAGGGGUGCUUUUCCUUGA